rnacentral:rRNA from 1 species
GACGAACGCUGACGGCGUGCUUAACACAUGCAAGUCGAAGGGAGUGGCGAACGGGUGAGUAACACGUGAGUAACCUGCCCAUUUCUUUGGGAUAAGCCUGGGAAACUGGGGCUAAUACUGGAUGGAUUGGGAUGGGCUCUCGGCUUAUCAGCUUGUUGGUGGGGUGAUGGCUUACCAAGGCUUUGACGGGUAGCCGGCCUGGGAGGGUGGUCGGUCACACUGGGACUGAGAUACGGCCCAGACGCCUACGGGAGGCAGCAGUGGGGGAUAUUGCACAAUGGACGGAAGUCUGAUGCAGCGACGUCGUGUGGGGGAUGAAGGUUUUCGGGUUGUAAACCUCUUUCGCUAUCGAACGGGUAGGUGGAGAAGAAGCGCCGGCUAACUACGUGCCAGCAGCCGCGGUAAUAC